AUUGAACGCUGGCGGUAUGCUUAACACAUGCAAGUCGAACGGCAGCAUGGUCUAGCUUGCUAGACUGAUGGCGAGUGGCGGACGGGUGAGUAACGCGUAGGAAUAUGCCUUGAAGAGUGGGACAACUUGGGAAACUCAAGCUAAUACCGCAUGUACUCGAGAGAGUAAAGCUGGGGACCUUUAGGCCUGGCGCUUUAAGAUUAGCCUGCGUCCGAUUAGCUAGUUGGUAGGGUAAAGGCCUACCAAGGCGACGAUCGGUAGCUGGUCUGAGAGGAUGAUCAGCCACACUGGAACUGAGAGACGGUCCAGGCUCCUACGGGAGGCAGCAGUGGGGAAUAUUGGACAAUGGGGGGAACCCUGAUCCAGCAAUGCCGCGUGUGUGAAGAAGGCCUGAGGGUUGUAAAGCACUUUCAGUGGGGAGGAGGUUUGGAAGGUUAAGAGCUAUUCAAAUGGACGUUACCCACAGAAGAAGCACCGGCUAACUCCGUGCCAGCAGCCGCCGUAA
rnacentral:rRNA from 1 species